GCCAGGAACAGUGGCGAGUGCCUGUAGUCCCAGCUACUCGGGAGGCUGAGGUAGGAGGAUCUCGAGUCCAGGAGUUCUGGGCUGUAGUGCGCUAUGCCGAUCGGGCGUCCACACUAAGUUUGGCAUCAAUAUGGUGACCUCCCGGGAGCAGGGAACCACCAGGUUGCCUAAGGAGGGGUGAACCGGCCCAGGUCGGAAAUGGAGCAGGUCGAAACUCCCGUGCUGAUCGGUAGUGGGAUCGUGCCUGUGAAUAGCCACUGCACUCCAGCCUGGACAACACAGCGAGACCCUGUCUCU
rnacentral:SRP_RNA from 1 species